rnacentral:sRNA from 1 species
GUAACAAGGUUUCCGUAGGUGAACCUGCGGAAGGAUCAUUGUUGUUGCCUUCGGAGAACUUGACCGGUGCAUACAUAAAAAAAAAAACUGUCGAGGAGCUCUCCCUCGGCUACACCGGCCCCGGCCGACGCUCGCCCUCUGGGGGUGUUGGUCGUGUGCUGGAAUACGGCUUCGGAUGAUGCCAAGGAACACGGGCAGGCAGAGAGCGAGCCCAUCUCGGGAGCUGUGCUGACUGUCAACCCCAAUGAAAUGUACGACUCUCGGCAACGGAUAUCUUGGCUCUCGCAUCGAUGAAGAACGUAGCGAAAUGCGAUACAUGGUGUGAAUUGCAGAAUCCCGUGAACCAUCGAGUCUUUGAACGCAAGUUGCGCCCGAGGGACCAUCUCGAGGGCACGCCUGCCUCAUGGGCGUUAGAAGCCCAUCCACGCUCGGUGUCCUUCCACAUGCCUCUAAUGAAGGGUAUGGCCUGGUGCGGACAUUGGCCCUCCGAGCCGCGAGGCGCGGAGAGCUGAAGCAUGUGGUCGUUCGCAUGGGGCUAGGUGCGGCGAGUGGUGGGCUGCUGCGCGCGCCGUCCCGGAACCCUGUGUCGGCAGUGGCACUGUUUUGAUCCCUUGAUGUGGAUCCCGUGCUCUCAGUGUUAUUUUGUGUGGCGUCUUCGGACAGAUACCCCAGGUCAGGCGGGGCUACCCG